GGCUUUAUAGUCAUUUAAAUGAUAUUAGACUGCAAUUCUAAAGGAAUAAUUUAAUUUUAUUAAAGCUU
rnacentral:tRNA from 1 species